UACAGAGGUCUCAAGCGUUGUUCGGAUUUAUUGGGCGUAAAGGGUGUGUAGGUGGCGCCGUAAGUCGGGGUGUGAAAUUUCGGAGCUUAACUCCGAAACUGCAUUCGAUACGUGCGGUGCUUGAGGACUGGAGAGGAGACUGGAAUUCAUGGUGUAGCAGUGAAAUGCGUAGAGAUCAUGAGGAAGACCAGUGGCGAAGGCGGGUCUCUGGACAGUUCCUGACACUGAGACACGAAGGCCAGGGGAGCAAACGGG
rnacentral:rRNA from 1 species